rnacentral:rRNA from 1 species
ACUCCUACGGGAGGCAGCAGUGGGGAAUAUUGCACAAUGGGGGAAACCCUGAUGCAGCCAUGCCGCGUGUGUGAAGAAGGCCUUCGGGUUGUAAAGCACCUUCAGCGAGGAGGAAAGGUCAGUAGCUAAUAUCUACUGGCUGUGACGUUACUCGCAGAAGAAGCACCGGCUAACUCCGUGCCAGCAGCCGCGGUAAU